rnacentral:rRNA from 1 species
GACGAACGCUGGCGGCGUGCCUAAUACAUGCCAGUCGAACGCACAGUUUAUACCGUAGCUUGCUACACCAUAGACUGUGAGUUGCGAACGGGUGAGUAACGCGUAGGUAACCUGCCUGGUAGCGGGGGAUAACUAUUGGAAACGAUAGCUAAUACCGCAUAAUAUUAAUUAUUGCAUGAUAAUUAAUUGAAAGGUGCAAUUGCACCACUACCAGAUGGACCUGCGUUGUAUUAGCUAGUAGGUGAGGUAACGGCUCACCUAGGCGACGAUACAUAGCCGACCGGGGAGGGUGAUCGGCCACACUGGGACUGAGACACGGCCCAGACUCCUACGGGAGGCAGCAGUAAGGAAUCUUCGGCAAUGGACGAAAGUCUGACCGAGCAACGCCGCGUGAGUGAAGAAGGUUUUCGGAUCGUAAAGCUCUGUUGUAAGAGAAGAACGGGGGUGAGAGUGGAAAGUUCACACUGUGACGGUAUCUUACCAGAAAGGGACGGCUAACUACGUG